AAAGCAUGGUGAGAGAAUUUCCUAAGCAUCUCCUUAAAACGCUCCCAACUUUCAUAAAUUAAUUUUCAUUCAAACUGGGCAAAAUGAGUGAUAUCAUUUCUAAGUUU